GCAGCUGCCCGUUAGAUCUUUUCCGGGUAAAUCUUUGGCUUUGACUACACGGACAUAUAAAUAUUGCAUUUGUUCAACAAGAUCAUAGGUGCUAGUGAGCUUAUCGUGUGCGGUUUUACCAACACCGAGGGCGGGUUUGGUCUCUUUGAGCGAAAAAUCUUCAUUCGGAGGGCGAGUCAUCAUCUGGGGUGGUUUAUUCAUCAUCUGGUACAUGAAUGUUCUUCACCUGCUAGAAUACCAUAAGAACACAAACUAAAACCCUAGGUGAGUUUUAGAGAGAGGAACAGAGGAGGUUUUAGAGAGAGAGAGGGGAAAAAUAGUACAGGUGGUGAAUAGUGGGGAUGACUUUGCAUGUGUGCUGUAAGAAUCUGGGUGUUUUGCUCGCCAGCGUUGCGGGGCAUUAA
rnacentral:lncRNA from 1 species